GACGAACGCUGGCGGCGUGCCUAACACAUGCAAGUCUACUUGAUUCUACUUCGGUAGUUGAUGGUGGCGGACGGGUGAGUAACGCGUAAAGAAUCUGCCCUUUAGUUUGGGAUAACCUUUGGAAACGAAGGCUAAUACCGGAUAUUAUGGAGACGUCGCAUCGCGACUUCAUGAAAGCUAUAUGCGCUAGAGGAGGACUUUGCGUCCCAUUAGUUAGUUGGUGAGGUAAUGGCUCACCAAGACCGCGAUGGGUAGCCGGCCUGAGAGGGUGAUCGGCCACAAGGGAACUGAGACAUGGUCCUUACUCCUACGGGAGGCAGCAGUGGGGAAGAUUGGACAAUGGGCCACAAGCCUGAUCCAGCAAUUCUGUGUGCACGAUGAAGGUCUUCGGAUUGUAAAGUGCUUUCAGUAGGGAAGAAAAAAAUGACGGUACCUACAGAAGAAGCGACGGCUAAAUAUGUGCCAGCAGCCGCCGUAAGAC
rnacentral:rRNA from 1 species